rnacentral:rRNA from 1 species
GACGAACGCUGGCGGCGCGCCUAACACAUGCAAGUCGAACGAGCGAGAGAGAGCUUGCUUUCUCGCGCGAGUGGCGAACGGGUGAGUAACGCGUGAGGAACCUGCCUCAUAGAGUGGGACAACAGUUGGAAACGACUGCUAAUACCGCAUAAGCCCACGGCUCGGCAUCGAGCAGGGGGAAAAGGAGCAAUCCGCGUUGAGAUGGCCUCGCGUCCGAUUAGCUAGUUGGUGGGGUAACGGCCCACCAAGGCGACGAUAGGUAGCCGGGCUGAGAGGUUGGACGGCGACAUGGGGGCUGGGACAGGGCCUAGACUCCUACGGGAGGCAGCAGUGGGGAAUAUUGCACGAUGGAGGAAACCCUGAUGCAGCGGCGCCUCGGGGAAGAGCAAGGUCUUCGGAGUGUAAACUCCGGUGGUUGGUGAAGAUAAUGACGGUACCCAACAAGGAAGGGACGGCUAACUACGUG